rnacentral:rRNA from 1 species
CCUACGGGGGGCUGCAGUGGGGAAUAUUGGACAAUGGGGGCAACCCUGAUCCAGCCAUGCCGCGUGUGUGAAGAAGGCCCUCGGGUUGUAAAGCACUUUCAGUGAGGAAGAACGCCUGGUGGUUAAUACCCAUCAGGAAAGACAUCACUCACAGAAGAAGCACCGGCUAACUCCGUGCCAGCAGCCGCGGUAAUACGGAGGGUGCGAGCGUUAAUCGGAAUUACUGGGCGUAAAGCGCGCGUAGGUGGCUUGAUAAGCCGGUUGUGAAAGCCCCGGGCUCAACCUGGGAACGGCAUCCGGAACUGUCAAGCUAGAGUGCAGGAGAGGAAGGUAGAAUUCCCGGUGUAGCGGUGAAAUGCGUAGAGAUCGGGAGGAAUACCAGUGGUGAAGGCGGCCUUCUGGACUGACACUGACACUGAGGUGCGAAAGCGUGGGUAGCAAACAGGAUUAGAUACCCUAGUAGUC